GAAAAAAAAAAAAGGUUCUCAAAGCUCAGGUAAGAUUUGUAUGAAUUAAAUAAACAUCAUAGUUCUGUAAGAUGAUCAUACUUUUUGUCACAUCAUAAUGUUAUUAAGAUGAUUUACUCAUUGAUAUUGUUUUAAUAUAGAAGAAAGAGGAAAUGGUGAAGGUGCUCCAUCACAGAAGAACCCCCAAAGAAAGGAGGAAGAGGAGAUGUUACCAGUGAGAACAGUACCAGGUUGAAAUCAGUC